UACGUAGGCAGCGAGCGUUGUUCGGAAUUACUGGGCGUAAAGAGUGUGUAGGCGGUGCUCCCAGUCUGUUGUGAAAUCUCCCGGCUUAACUGGGAGGGUGCAGCGGAAACUAGAGUGCUAGAGGGUGGGAGAGGUAAGCGGAAUUCCUGGUGUAGCGGUGAAAUGCGUAGAUAUCAGGAGGAACACCGGUGGCGAAGGCGGCUUGCCAGAACGCGCUCGACGGUGAGGGAUGAAAGCUGGGGGAGCAAACCGG
rnacentral:rRNA from 1 species